AUUGCACCAUUGCACUCUAGCUUGGGUGACAAGAGUGAAACUCCGUCUCAAAAACAAACAAACAAAAAAAUGUGCCUGGCAUAGGACUUAGGAGAGAGUCAGCACCACCUGAAAGGCACUCCAGGAAAAAUACUGGCAAUGUGAAGGAUUGUUAGUGACAUGAUGCCACUUCCAGGGUGAACACCAGCCUAGCUCCAGCCCAAAUCCACAUGCUUCUGGGAGCACUGGGAUUUGGACUGCAGUUCAUCUUGCUUGCAAGAGCCACCAUGCUGCACCAUCAUCCCUCUCACUUGUCAGUGCUCCUUAGCCGUCAGUGCUCCUUAGCCGAGUACAGUUCUGACUGCCAUGCGACCAAGACCCGGAGCUUACAUGCUCCUUAUUGGAAACAGAAGGAAAACUCUUGUGUGAUAGGAAGAAGGCACUGAGUAGAGGCUGUUCCCCGGGAAUUAUCCAAGAAUCACAGCUCAGCCGAGGACUUUCUGGUACUGUGCAUUUCAGAUUUUAAAUUUCACGGUUAUAAUAACCAUCUUGCACAAAGGCAGCCGAAACCCAACCAACUGAAAACACGGGCACACACAUACCGUAUAUACCACGCAUACAUGCAUGUCAGCCACACACAGAUGAUUUGCCUAGAAAUUUGUUUCUCCAGACCUUUUGGCAGAAUAGCUAUUUGUCAUGGGAGAGGGAGGAAAAUAUUUGCAUUCGUAAUAGGAAGAGUUUAUGGUUGUGAAUAAGCUCAUGUUUGAAAAAACAGUAAUAUUAGAUAUAUGGUUGCUGGCACUACACAAUUGCAGGAUGUAAUAGUGGCUACUAACAUUAAACAUUACUUAAAAUUACAUGCAUUAUAGAAAUGGGGAUAUUUAUCUCAUGUUUAAUGAUCCGUGGUGAAAGGAUUUGUUGCUUACAAUCCUUAAAAUGAUCAAUAUAUUAUUUUAACACUUUUAAAAGGGAGUUGGUUUUUUGGUUGUGAGUUAGGAGCAGUUGUCAUGCACAUAUUUUAUAAUAAAAUUUUAGAUUUGUUGCCACAGUUUCAUUAAUAUAUUUAAGCAGGUGUGCCCAGGUAGUGGAAUCAGAAAGGCAACUCGAUUUUAUUUAAAAUAUGGUUCAAGUGGUCUCUGUAAUGAGAAAUUCACAUGGCUUUUUUUUUUUUUUCUAAUGAGUUUCCUGCUGGCUUCGGAGAUGUGGUUGUUUACAGUAGAAGUAUUUUUUUUUUCCAUUUGAGGCUUCCAUUAUUAUUAUAAGAUCAAUAAUAAAUACACUGAAUUUAUGUCUGUUAAAUAUUUUUAGCCUGCUCCUAACACAUGAAAAUAUUACAUACCUGUUUUGAUCUAUUUGUAUUCUGUUCCUUCCAAGUUUUUCUAUUUUAAAGGAAAAUUCUUGAAGGCCACCUUUUAAGGUUUCUCUAAUUGGCACAUCUCUGGUCAUUAACUUUUUACUUUUAAAGGAGAGCAGAAAGACAGAUUGUAAAAACAAAAAGUAGAUAUCUAGUUUAUUUUGCUACUUGAUAAGAAAAAAAUCUCCAAUUCUUGCAUACUAUUUGCAGUUAACUUUAUUCAGCCUUUAGAGGAAAAUGUCUCUUCCUUUCCAGAAUUCAAGCCCCAUAAUUUUGUCUUCCUGUUGAGUGUCAACAAUUUUUUUAAAGCCUAUAUGAGGAAGCUAACUUCCGAGCAAUUAAGUACUCAAGAACCAGAAUUGAAUUUAGUCAUUUUUAUAUUUAUAACUAAUACACAUUUUGAGUUUCAUCACAACUUGAACUAUGUCUGAGGAGUUGCACAUGAAGGAUUUUAUUACUUGAUUAAUAUAUUAAAUGCACUAGGAAAAUUUCCUCGUAAAGUUUCAUUAAAGAGUUAAGAUAGUCCUUUAUUUCAUGCGUACAUUGAAGUUAUGUAUAAUGGUGGCUGUGAAAUGUUUUCUAAAUUUCAGGUGGCUCUUGAUUUUCUUUGUGUUUUCAUUUGUGGCUUGGAAAGAAAAACAAAGGUCAAGUUACUCUCAUCCUUUAUCACCCAGUGUUUCAUGAAGGAAGCCUCAUUUUCAUGAGGAAAUCUUGGCGUGUCUACUCCAGCUUGUGUAUUUUGGCAGUAUGGAAAAGCGAAACACGGUUCCUGCUGCGCCCACUGCUUUUUGUGUAAGAUCUAUUUUGUAUUGGGUAACCUUGGCAUUCAGUGUUUUCACAUUUAAUUCGUAACUGUCUGCAAGUUGUUAUGAAGCUGAAAUUGAUGAUCCAUCAGUUCAGUCUAAAGAGCGUGUUGGAAUCAUGAUUUGAUAUUUUCUGGAAAGAGUUUACUUUUUGAAAGGAUGCCCUUAGCUCUUUUUCUAAUGUCUUCAGAAGAAAAAAAAUGGUUUACUAUUUUCAGAAAAAAAAGGCGAUGUACUCACUGGUCUAUUUUCUGUGAUCAAAAUGUGUUGACCACCUACCCCUGGUGUGUGUUUCUGAGCGUCCUUGGCAGCCUCUGCCUUCACAACCAUUCUCUUUUCAAAUUCCUCUCCUUUUCCCUUUCCCGUUUGUGCUAGUAAAGACUCUUGGAAGCAUCAGGCCCUGAUGAGCUGAAGCCCCCAUUCCAGGGGUCUUUGGCUGCUGCAUUUCUGACUUGAGCCACACAGCGAAGACCUUCUGACCUAUGGCUUCUGACCUAUUGGCCUUCAUGGCCCAUGGCUGCCUUCCGAACUAUUAUUUAUGGUGGGCAUUGAGGGAUUCUGUUUGUUGGCCAUGCCUUAAUGCUCUGUUUUUUGAGGCCUUAACACAGUAGUUGAAAUUUCUUGGCCAAAUUGGAUAGAGAAUGUGAAAUAGAUACUGUAGAAGCACUUCAGAACACUCUGUCAUGAACUAUGGGAUAAUAAUGAAGACUUCCCAGACUGACUGGUAAGUAGUCCGUAAGGAAGACUUGUGGAAAUAAACCCUGAAAAAUAUGGUUUAUGCAUUUGAUGUUGGAAUAGAAGAAAUUAUUUUGUUUCUAUGUUUCAACAGCCUAUCUUUCCAUGAGUAUUGAAAACAGUGCUUCUAUUUUUUACAUUAUUGGAUUCAUCUUUACACUCAAGUGAUUACUAACUUGGUUAAUAAAACUGUUGUGUUUUCCUUUUCUUUUUUUGUCUUUGUCACGGCUCUCUAUCUCAUAUGUUCUGUUUCUGGUACUCUAUCAUCUGUACGACACUGCUGAAAGUGAAGGCUCCCACCUGACGCCCCAGCUUGCUGAUUAAAUUUAGGUUAGGCUGAUGAUUUAAGGAGUAAACCAUCUCACCAGCACUGUUCCAGUUCUUCACUGGUGAACCAAUGGUAAUGUCUGGGUUGAGAGUUACAAACUGAAAUCCAGGAGAAAUGCUGAUCUUCCCUGUCUUGCUAAUCUACCUUGUACUGGAACCCAGAAUCAGGUUCCUAAAUUCUAGAUUACACAGCCGUGACAGAAGGCAUUGAGAAAUCAGAGAGGCACAUACUUCUCCAACACAUACUCAGGUUUCCUCAAGAAUAUUUGUCAUAAUAUUUGUAGCUUGUCCAGUUUGAUCUGCAUGGAGUUGUCAUAAGAAAGUCUUUGUGGCUGAGGAUUUGGUAAAAUGCAGCAUGCUGGUGAGAGUUAUAUCUCUUGUUUAAAACAAAACAAAACCUGAAACAACCAGGGCCUGAAAGCCGCACUGUGUUCCCAAGACUCCGCAACAGCCACAGGGCAUUUUAGCAGAGAAAACAAAGCUUGUUUUAUAGCUUCUCUUCAUAGGUCUCCCUGACAGGCUUAGAGGGACAUUGAGUGAAAAUGGAGCUGUUAAUGAUAUAAUAAAUGCUUCUGAAAUUUUUCUAUUGGGCAAUCCCUCAAUAGCUGACUGCUUUGAAAAAUGAAUGAAAAUCAAACAUAAAGACACAAAUGGCUUCGUCUGCUUGGUAAUGAAUAAACAUAUGCAAAAGGACAAUCAGUUGCAGGUGUGUUGCCUGUCUAUAGUGUUUUGUUUCUGCUUUUGUGUUUGUCUUCCAAGCAAUUAAUAAACCAGCCUGGCCUAUAAUAUCGUUCUGGAAACAUUCUUUUUCACAGGCUCAGACUUGGAGAUUUAGCCUUAAUGCUUUCUUUUCUUGUUUUAGUUAAAAAAACCCACCUACAUAAAAUUUACCACCUUCAUCGUUUUUAAGCAUACAGUUCAGUAGCUUUUCGUAUUUUCACAUUGCUGUGAAACAGAGGUCCAGAACUUUUUCAUCCUGCAAUCUGAAACCCUAUUCCCACUCAACAACUUCCCAUUUCCCCCUCCCUUGGCCCCUGGUAAGCACCAUUUUGUUUUCUGUUUCUGCGAAUCUGUUGCCUGAUUUCUUUUCCACACGUGCUGGUUCCUGCAUCUCCUCUCCUGAUUCACUACAAUUGGGACUAAUCAUGCCUUUCAGGAGGAGAGAACAAUAUGUAAUUUUCACAGUGGUUUUUAUAAAAUAGAGUACCUGGUACGUGCCCACUAGGAUAUGCAGCUCCAAUAAACUUUUCUGUUGGCAUAAUUCUUUAGAAUAUGUUAAAGUCAUCUCACGUAGUUGAGGAGUUAGAUGGUGAAGGCAGAUCUAAGCUUUUAAAACUAGAUCAUUUUGCUGCCUGUGUCAGCUAGAAUUGAGUCUCAACUGUCCAAUUCCUAGGCAAACCUCUGAACUCAUCUUCUUUUAGGGCAUGUAUAAUUUUUGACAGAUGACAGAUCUGUUUUAAAAAUGUGCUUAUUGUCCUUUGGUAUUUUAAUUUGAUUUGUUUUGAGCACUCAUGUUAUUGUUUAUAAAUGUGGGCCAAAUGCAUUUAAUGAGUACACGCAAUUGGUAGAAUACUGUCGCUCUGAAUAACCUUAACUCUCUAUGGAAGGAGACACACUCCAUUUUCAUUUGUGUAAAUUCUUUGCUGUAGGUCACCACUGUAGAUUCACAUUUCGAAUGCUGUCAAAUCAUAGAAGUAUUAAAAAAUAUUUGUUUUUAAAGAUGGCUCUUAUUGCUUGCAUUGCUUUUUCAGAAACCUCUCUCUGUUUUCCAAUACGGCUUUUAUGUCAGUGCUGGUAUUAGGUCACUGUAGGCUGCCCAUGUCACUAAAUUUAGUUUAUAAUUUCACAGGAUUUUUUUUAAAAUGUGUCAUCGAAACCCAUGUUUCUUAGUAUAUAUCUUACAUUUGCCUUCAAUUUUCAAACAGCUAACUUUUGCAGUGAUGAUACCUACAUAAAAGGGAAUUAUCAUUAAAACGGUGCUUGUUAGGAUGGUUUACUUUAAGAUAAGGCUUCAUAACAAGGGACUUAAACUGAGCAAAAAACUCAAAACCAGUGUGAGUUAACAAUGGAAUGUGCUAAAUCUCAGGCUUCCUUCUCUUGGCCAGAUUUUAAAACAAUCACAUUGAGAGCAACAAAGUUAACUGGUGAGCCAGUUUAAAGGGAACUGAAGUUUCUGAUAAAGUCUUUCCCUCUUGUCCAUGGGGGAUACAUUCCAAGACCCCAGUGGAUGCCUGAAGCCAUGGAUAGUACCAGACCUGAUUGCUGUCACUCUGGACACGUUUCUGUUGUCAGCUGAAGGAUGAGACAGUUUGUAAAUUUGGAAAGGAGCUUUUUGUUUCUCAUAAAGGGUCGCAGCCUGCAAAGCGGGCAUUCUGACAGGCUAGGAAGCAUAGCUUCUGGUCAGAAGCCAGAAACAGACACUUCAGAGGGGAAGAAUAAGACAACAAUUUAUGCUGAAUGGGGUGGGUAAUAGGCAUAUUCAAUAAGCUAUGGGGGAGUCAUGAAUAUUCAUGAAACGAGAACCAUGCGCACGCGAUUGAGAUUCACGGUCCCAUGUUCAAAACAUGGCAGUGUUAGCAUGAUCCAAGGGCAGAGUUUUCUGGACUCUAAUGUGUUAAGCUGAAGCUGAGGACACGCAGGCCCUCACUGCACAGCCCCCACAGGCUGGUGGAAUGCUGGUUUGUUGUUUCAUUGACAUCACAAAAGGGAGGGGUGGUGUCAGUCUGUUGGUUAAGUCCUAGGUGGAAUCUUUGGAAAGAACUGGCUUUUGUUCAGCCCUUAGGGAAGAAAGCCUGUGGCCUUUAGCAAGCAAGGAUGGGGGUGUAACCAGGCUCAUCAGACCUCCCAUCCCCUCACAGCCACAGACCCAGCUUUAAGUUUCCCAGACGGAAGAUUAUUCUUACUGCAGAUCUUAGCAACCUCAGCACAUGACUCUUUUUCUUUCCUCAUUAAGUCAAGAACCUUUGGCCUUUUCACUUAAAAGAAGCACUCUAAGGCUUCGCUUUGACAUACCCCAGUUGCCAGCAUCACUACUGUUUGGGACCAUUAGGAAGUAAAUUCAGGGAGACUUGAACACAAGCACUGCUUAUCUCGAAAGCUGAUCUGCUCACCGAGGUGGCCCUUGAGCACGGACAGCCUGGAUCUGCUGGAUCGGUUCUUGGGGAAAAGCUGUGCUUCAGAGACAAGGUUGAAGAACUUCGCCUGCAUAUGAUGGAAGAUGACAAUGGGAACCACAGGUGUCAUUGGUGGCUUUGUUUUACAAAGUCUUCACCUUUCUGCUGAGUCACGGGACUAAGUUCAACACAAUUUCUACUUUCCGCCUUCCUUUGGAAUAAUAGUUUUGGAAGCCAAGUAUUAGUAUAUGAUACCAGGUGUGUUUUCUAAAGAUUCAGGUUCAGUGGGCUGAAUGCACUUUCAUGACUUCAUUAGACCACUGAGCCCAAGGAGAAAAGUGCCAAUCUUACUAGACAUGAGGAAAAAGACACAUCUUUUGCUCUUGCUGGAAGUGGUGUCCUACUUUCUACAAGCAGUCGUCAUCUGGUUUAUACUUGCCUUGUUCAGUUUUUGUGUGAUAUUUUAUUCUCUGCCUAAUAGAUAUUAAAGUAUCAAGCUGUCAA
rnacentral:lncRNA from 1 species